AUCCAGGGGUUUUUGCCAUACACACAGCACAGAUUUUUUUGAUUAUGUAGAUUUUUUUCUACUGCAGUUUCAUAUGCAAAGCAUGCAUCAGCCACAUCCAUGCUAUCUCCUAAAGCAGUCAUUCUGAAACCCAAUCUGGGGACAGUGCAGACUAAAUAAAAUUUCAUUUUGAUUUGGCCUCCCGCUGAGAAUGGGACUGCUUUGUUUCAGCCGACAGAACCAGCAAGCCAGAAAGGUGUUGAAUACACAAAUACUGACUUAACGGAAAAUUAUACAGAGCACUUUGAGUUCUCUACAACUUUCCCCAUGGGCCUUAGUCAAGGACAAGAAAUGCAAAACCUGCCAACACAUCUCUAUCACUCCCAAAAUAACCACACCCCACAACAGAACGAGCACCAUUACUGGAUCUUAUACCUACAUGCCAUAUAUCUCAUCUAGUGCACCAAAUGCCCUGAUAAAGAAUAUGUAGGAGAAACCAAACAAACUUUUCCAAACUUCCACUCAUUUGCAUCUUCACAGACUUCUUGUUCACUUUAGCAUCGUUUCUACCUGGAAGAACUCAAAACAUCAGCAGAGUCUCCCAUUGCCUGAAGAAGAAUGCUUGUGCCCAAAAGCAUGGAAAGAACUUUGUUCCAGCUACUCACUUGGUCUAAUAAAAUAUAUCAUAUUUACCCA
rnacentral:lncRNA from 1 species